AGGGGCUCAGGAGGGACUGUGCUAUUGCAAGCAGAAAAACAGGUUCCUAAAAGAGAGAUCUGGGCUCAGGCAGGCACUUAAAGCCUUUAAACAAGCCCUGCAGAGAAUUAAAUUCUCUACCUUACUGUAAAAACAUACAGCAAUAAAAUGGGCUGUUUAUGACACAGGCUAUCUAUGGUUUUAAUUGAAAUCUGUCAGAAACCUACCUCCGUGAAUGGAUGCCAAAGUUAAGUGCUUCCUGUGGAAAAAUCAAGAGGGUACAACAGACUCAGUCUUCCAAAAGUCUGUGGAAAUGGAGGCUUUUUAAUUUACUUUUCAGGUGACUGCUACAUACCCUGAAGGCAGAUCACUUCCACAAAUGUCAGAAUAAGUUUGGACUGUAAGGAUGGCCUUGGACGCGGGCUCCUACCAUGGUUCCCUUAAUCCCUGAAUGAGCGUAAACAAGGAAGAAGAAGGAAGAGUCAAAGACAUUUGGAGCUCAUCAAAACCAAAAUACAAUUUUGUUGUAACAAGGAAUGAAGAAAAUACAUCCACAUAGUGUAACUAACUGUGGGCGUACCAUCCAAAGUGUCCUGACAGCUGCCAACCCUGGAAGCAGGUUUGGGUAGAAACAAGAGCCAUGGCACUCUGAAGCUUUCUACCAGCUAGGAUCUUCCCAUGAUGUAAUAGGCUGGAUUUCUGUCUGCAGAGGACCUGGCCCAGUCAGUGCAAUUCUGCCCACUUGAUGUCAGCCUGCACUUGGGGAACCCUUGGCUGCAAGAUGGAGACGACACAUCAGCAAUUCCCUAACAGAAUUAUUGGGCUCUUCUGAUGUAAAGCAAAAUAAAUCUGAGAAGCCUAGCAUAAAGAUAGCAGUCACAGUUGGUUAAAAACUAAAAUCCAGUGGUUCCCAGCAAAAUAUUAGGUUCAAGGAGUCGAGAGAGCUCCACUCACUGCAACCUCCUUUCUCUGUUCCAGAGGUCCCUUCUACCAGCUGUGUGCUUGGCUUUGUCUCUCAGAGAUAGCACUGUCCAUUAGCCUGCGUAGCCAGAGUGCAGCCUGCGUUUCCUAGGAGUGCAACAUACUACUGCGUACGACUCCUGAGGUGAUCCUUGGCUGUCCUUGGCCCUUCCUUUGGGCACAAAGACAUUAGGAAGCCAUCAAAACCAAAAUACAAUUUUGCUGUAACAAGGAAUGAAGAAAAUCCAUCCACAUAGUGUAACUGUGGGCCUAUCAUCCAGGUUAUCCUGACACCAUUUACCUUCAGCUCCGUGAGAGUGUGAACAGAGUACCACCAGCCCACUCAUGCUCACCAUGUGCUUGGGGUCUGGUAUCCUGGGGGCAGGCAGGUUGGUUUUAAUGUACUUUGAGGGACUGUAGCUCAGUUUGUGUGUUAAUAGUGCUUACUUUCUGCAAUGAGGGAAGGGGUGUGGAUAGUGAAAAAAGAAAGCCUCCUCCCCCACCUCCCUUUACUCUCCAGGAGCCUGAGUGCAUUUAUUGAAACUUAUUGCAUUAAAAAGGGGGUGGGGCUCCUCUAAAGUGUUUUUAAGGAGCUUCUGAGAUUAUAACCAAUGGGAGAUGUGAUCAACAUCAGAGACAUAGAAUUCACUCCAAGUUUUCAUUUAUAUUUGUUGGUAGAAUAUUACCAGGAGCCCUGAGGAUCCGCUGUUAGCACAUCACUGGUUUUUACAGCUAUCAGUCAGGUGGGAAUCCCAGUUUGGUUAUCUGUCUGGAAGAAUUUCAAUUCCUUAUUUCAAAUUUUAAAAGGAUGGGCAGCAAUUUGUCUCAGCACUUUUGUUCUUUCUCCUUCACAGCCACAUGCUAAAAGCAGGAUGUUUUACUAUCAGCUAUUAGUACUUUGACAUGACAUUCUUCAACCUGCCUUUUUAUUUCCCUCUUUUUGUCUGCAAUUGUAGAGCUGACAUCAAACCAAGACAGCUCAGUGCCUCAGAGAAAAGUUAGAAGUCACUGUCAUGAGACACAGCUUGACUACAUACUAGCAAAUACUUAAGUAGUUCACAGAUCUAAGUCUGAUUCUCUGUGUUUUCUGAUGUUUUAACAAGCUCAGAUUUAAAGAGAGAAAUGAAAAAUUAAAAAAAAAAAAAAAGAGAUCGAAAGGUACCAUAAUAAAAAUCUAGUAAUGAUUUA